AUGGAUCAUCUUCUACAUUGGGAUUGCAACCCUGGUCGAAAGGUGGCUACAUAGGUUCGUACAAAGUUUGCAUCUAUGGUCCAUUUCUCUCCAUCCCACAAUACCAAGGAGAUCUUCUUGGUUGCAUCCUUCUCCUCAGCCUCAUUUCCCCUCUCGGAGGAAUCUAUUGCUCUUGCUAUGGUCUGCUGCAUUGGU
rnacentral:rRNA from 1 species